AGCUCCAAUAGCGUAUAUUAAAGUUGUUGCAGUUAAAAAGCUCGUAGUUGAAGUUCUGGUUGUAUGGAUCCCUGCACUCGAUGUAAGGACACCAGCAACCAUCCGCUUGCAAAUACAUGUCCUUCUUUAACCGGUAGGCUGUAUGAGUAAGUACUUUACCUUGAGAAAAACAGAGUGUUCCAGGCAGGUUUGUCCGGAAUGCAUUAGCAUGGAAUAAUAGAAUAUGACUGAAGUCGAUUUAUUGGUUUGAGGCUUUAGUAAUGAUUAAUAGGAACAAUCGGGGGCAUUAGUACUUGCCAGUCAGAGGUGAAAUUCUAAGAUUUGGCAAAGACUAACUGAUGCGAAAGCGUUUGCCAAGGAUGUUUUCA
rnacentral:rRNA from 1 species